GACGAACGCUGGCGGCGUGCCUAAUACAUGCAAGUAGAACGCUGAAGGAGGAGCUUGCUCUUCUGGAUGAGUUGCGAACGGGUGAGUAACGCGUAGGUAACCUGCCUGGUAGCGGGGGAUAACUAUUGGAAACGAUAGCUAAUACCGCAUAAUAGUAGAUGUUGCAUGAUAUUUACUUAAAAGGUGCAAUUGCACCACUACCAGAUGGACCUGCGUUGUAUUAGCUAGUUGGUGGGGUAACGGCUCACCAAGGUGACGAUACAUAGCCGACCUGGGAGGGUGAUCGGCCACACUGGGACUGAGACACGGCCCAGACUCCUACGGGAGGCAGCAGUAGGGAAUCUUCGGCAAUGGACGAAAGUCUGACCGAGCAACGCCGCGUGAGUGAAGAAGGUUUUCGGAUCGUAAAGCUCUGUUGUAAGAGAAGAACGAGUGUGAGAGUGGAAAGUUCACACUGUGACGGUAUCUUACCAGAAAGGGACGGCUAACUACGUG
rnacentral:rRNA from 1 species